CUUCAGAAAGGAAGAACCCUUGCUCAAGAGAAGUAUGGUUUGUGUCUUCUCUUAUUUCCAUUACAGAAGCAACUAGGGAAGAAAUCUAACUGGAAGCAGAGGAUUUUGUUAAUACUUUUCAAUCAGCCAAGCAGGUCACAAAAGCUCUGAAGGAGGGCCACCCUCUUCCACCUCCUCCCCCGCCAAGAAUGAAUCCAGACUAUAUUCAGUGUCCACACUGCUCACAGAGGUUUUGUGAGGCUGCAGCCCAGAGGCACAUGGAGUUUUCUGAAGAACAAGCUGUCUACUAUGCUGCAAAGACCACUGGACAGGCUUCGGACAAGCAGCCAUUGACUCAGAGAAAAACUCCAACAUUAACACCUGCUGUGUUAUCGCUUCUGGAGAGAGUACAAAAAGGUGCCAACACAGACAAACCUACCCUAGAGACCUCUUUAGAAAUACUGAAGAAAACUGCAAAAUCUUGGGGUGUAUCUACUGGGAAAAAUUCUUCAGGAAAGUUUGGACCGCAAAUGGACAACAGAAGAUAG
rnacentral:lncRNA from 1 species